CCUACGGGAGGCAGCAGUAGGGAAUCUUCCGCAAUGGACGAAAGUCUGACGGAGCAACGCCGCGUGAACGAUGAAGGCCUUCGGGUCGUAAAGUUCUGUUGUUAGGGAAGAACAAGUGCUAGUUGAAUAAGCUGGCACCUUGACGGUACCUAACCAGAAAGCCACGGCUAACUACGUGCCAGCAGCCGCGGUAAUACGUAGGUGGCAAGCGUUGUCCGGAAUUAUUGGGCGUAAAGCGCGCGCAGGCGGUUUCUUAAGUCUGAUGUGAAAGCCCCCGGCUCAACCGGGGAGGGUCAUUGGAAACUGGGAAACUUGAGUGCAGAAGAGGAAAGUGGAAUUCCAAGUGUAGCGGUGAAAUGCGUAGAGAUUUGGAGGAACACCAGUGGCGAAGGCGACUUUCNGGUCUGUAACUGACGCUGAGGCGCGAAAGCGUGGGGAGCAAACAGGAUUAGAUACCCUGGUAGUCCACGCUGUAAACGAUGAGUGCUAAGUGUUAGAGGGUUUUCCGCCCUUUAGUGCUGAAGUUAACGCAUUAAGCACUCCGCCUUGGGGGAGGUACGGUCGCGAGACUAGAACGUUAAACGGUAAGUUAGACGGCGUGAGACGUACGCCGACGGACGACGACGAGGGAGGUUAGG
rnacentral:rRNA from 1 species